GGCGUGUGGAGACACAUGGAGUACUCCGACCGCUCUCCUGAAGCGGGUGUCGCAGGUUCGAAUCCUGUUGGGGCCGCCA
rnacentral:tRNA from 1 species